AAUGGCAAUUCCUGCUGCCCUGCUGAUACUGAAUUUAUUUUUUAUUUUAAGUUUUUCAGCAAUAAGAUCUUAAAAACCGGCCGGGCGCGGUGGCUCAUGCCUGUAAUCCCAGCACUUUGGGAAGCCAAGGCAGGCAGAUCACCUGAGGUCGGGUGAGUUCAGCCUGACCAACAUGGAGAAACCCUGUCUCUACUAAAAAUACAAAAUUAGCCGGGCAUGGUGGCGCAUGCCUGUAAUUCCAGCUACUCGGGAGGCUGAGGCAGGAGAAUCGCUUGAACCAGGGAGGUGGAAGUCGAGGUGAGCCGAGAUCGCGCCAUUGCACUCCAGCCUGGGCAACAAGAGUGAAACUCCGUCUCAAAAAAAAAUUCUUAAAAACCGGCAGAAAAUGUAUCAGGGUGCCCGGUACUAACAGGAGAUGAGACAUAGGCAAGAGCCCAGCCCUCGAAUUGCUAACAGUUUUGCUUGGGAACCGGAAUUAAUGUCUUCAGCAUACUCAGGCCAAGGUGACAGCACCGGCUCUCAGAGAGGUUGGAUUUCAGCAACUUCCCAUCCUCUCAACCCACACAGGAACAGGCCCCUCGGCAGUUCGAGAACGCACCUUCCCAUACUUCAGAGUUGCCGGAGGGAGGGUGGAGGACCUCCUGCCUCACAGUGAUCUGAGGUCCAGAAACCCUAGGGACCCCAGCUUGAGGCUCUGAAGGGCUGUGACACAGCCUCUUUGCCUGCCAGCCCCGCCCCGGAUGCAGCCUGCUGAGCGAGGGUGGAGGAGGGGAGCUAUGUGGCCAAAACCCUGAGUCACUGAGGAGCACGAGGGAGCCGCCCUUUCCGGCGUGUCUCCCGAGGCUGUCUGCCCUUCCCCAGCCUCUGCAGCCUACAAUCCCAAUCAAGAGCCAGCCCGGUUUCUGCAAGCACACAGGAGCAGAAGAGAAACCAGUGAAGACUUCACCGCUGCAUAUCAGGCCAGCGACGGCUGCUCGGUGACGGCGCUGCUCUGCCACCAAGAAAAACCCCAAACCCACUGAUCCCACAAAGAGGGGAGAAAAAGGAAGGCUUCAUGCUGAAGAAGGAGAAAUACAAACGUGUAUGUGCCGGUUUGCCUCUGGUCGUUACCGUGGAGGCAUUCACACGCCUGUCCAUUUGGCAUUAUUAUGAGCGAUCCCCAGACAGAAGAACUUAAGGUCAAGUUUUACAGAGAUAACCAAGGACAUCUUAAAGGAGACAGGCUGUGCGAUCAUUGGAAGAGGGAAGCUGUGGAUCUUGCAUUCAUGCAUUUGGAUGAAGAUGACACUGGAAACUGCACGUUGCAGGUUGAGGUGGCCAAGUAUCAACGGAAUGGGAAAUAUGAGGCUUCAGGAAGGAAGUGCGCGAACCACAGGAAGGCUCCGUCUCUACGGCAGAAGCGGCCACGCCGCAGCCCAUCCAAACGCCGCGACACGAGUGAGUUGUCCUCAUCGAACACAUUUCAUCCUGUGGAUUUUGAGGAUGGCCAGAGAAGACCUUCAAGGAGAGUCAAGUUUGGACCAACUCGGAGGCUCAUUGUCUUUGACAGACACCCAGCUGGUGAACCUGUGUCCUGGAGGAAUGCAGGAGCAGCUGCUCAUUGUAUUCAAACCUUUGAUGGAAGGUGGUUUGAAUGAUAAUGGUUGAACAGACUCCAAGGCUGAGAGGACGGGCGGGCGGCUUCCUUCAGUGUCCCUGAGGCCAACACACUCAGUGCUCCGAUUCCACAGAGGGGGACUUUGGGUGGUGCUGGGGGCGUUGAGGAAGAAGGGCCCCUGGGCACAGCCAGCAGUGCUGUCCUCAGUAGUGAUGACAAGGAGGAGGAGGAAAAGGGAAAAGAGGAGGAUAUGAUGACAAAGAUGAUAUUUAAUCCCUCAAACUUGCUUUUAGGGAAGUUCCUCCAUCUGCAUGUGGCUGUGUGUCAGGGUGAUUAUUAGUAGGGUUACGUGAACACGGCACAGUGGUACAAUGCCAUCAGACUAAAUUUUUUAAAAGUUUUAAAUUUUCAUUGUAACUGGCAAUUAAUGAUUUUUAAAUUAUUUUUAUUUAUUUAUUUGUUUUUUGAGACAGGUCUCAUUCCGUCACCCAAGGCUGGAGUGCAGUGGUGUGAUCUCAGCUCACUGCAACCUCUGCCUCCCAGCUCGAGCGAUUCUCUCACCUCAGCCUCCCAAGUACCUGGGACUGCAGAUGUGUGCCACCACACCUGGCUAAUUUUUUUUUUUUUUUAUAGGGUUGGGGUUUCGCCAUGUUGCCCAGGCUGGCCUCAAACUGCUGAACUCAAGCAAUCUGCCCAUCUUAGCCUCCAAAAAUGCUGGGAUUCCAGGUGAGAGCCAUCACGCCUGGCUAUUUUUAAAAAGAGUCUUGCUCUGUCAUCCAGGCUGGAGUGCAGUGACACAGUCAUGGCUCAUUGCAGCCUUGAACUCCUGGACUCACGUGACCCUCUUGCUUCAGCCUCCUGAGUAGCUGGAAUUACAGGUGCGUGCCACCAUGCCUAACUAAUGUAUAUUUUUAAAUUUUUUGUAGAGAUGGGUCUCAUUAUGUUGCCCAAGCUGGUCUUGAACUCCUGGCCUCAAGCAGUUAUCCCAUCUCAGCCUCCCAAAUUGCUGGGAUUACAGGCAUGACCCACAGUGCCCAGCCAUUAAUUUUUUUUUUUUUUUUUUGACGGAGUCUCGCUCUGUCACCCAGGCUGGAGUGCAGUGGCACAAUCUCGGCUCACUGCAAGCUCUGCUUCCCAGCUUCACGCCAUUCUCCUGCCUCAGCCUCCCGGGUAGCUGGGACUACAGGCGCCCGCCACCAGACCCGGCUAAAUAUUUGUAUUUUUAGUAGAGACAGGGCUUCACUGUGUUAGCCAGGGUGGUCUCGAUCCGCCACCUCAGCCUCCCAGAGUGCUGGGAUUACAGGCGUGAGCCACCGCACCCGGCCUCAGACAACAUGACUUUAUUACUGGAAACCAACUAAGAAAAAAUUAUGAUUAGGAGGAGAAAACAGCAAACGGUCGGGGUCAAAAACCAAUAUUCAGCAAUCAAUAGCUUUUACCAAUCAAAAGAACUUUUAGAAGAUAUAAUUGAAGACAAAAUCCUAUUUAUAAUAGCAAACAACAGCAAAAGCAAGGAAUGAACUUAGUCAAUGUGCACUGCCUGUAGGAGAUGACCUCGUGAUCGGCAUGCCCGCCUUGGCCUCCCAAAGUGCUGGGAUUACAGGAGUGAGCCACUGUGCCCAAAAAAAUAAAUUUUGUAAUGUUUCACUUAACAAAAGAGAUACAUUCUGAGAAAUGUAUCAUUAAGUGAUUUCAUAAUUAGUUGAUUUCAUUGUCACGCAAACAUCAUAGAAUGCACUUACACAAACCUAGAUGGUACAGCCUACUACACACCCAGGCUUUAUGGUAGAGCCUAUUGCCCUUGGCUAUAAACCUGUAGAGAUGUUACUGUACUGAAUACUGUAGGCAACUGUAACACAAUAAUAGGUAUCUCUGUAUCUAAACAUGGAAAAGGUACAGUAAAAUUACUGUAUUAGUCCAGGUGCAGGCAGCUCAUGCCUGUAAUCUCAGCACUUGGGGAAGCUGAGGUGGGUGGACUGCUUGAGACCAGGAGUUCAAGACCAGCUUGGGCAACAUAAUGAGAUCCUGUCUCUACCAAAAAUUAAAAUAAUUAGCCAGGCGUGGUAGCAUGUGCCUGUAGUCCUAGUUACUAGGGAUGCUGAGGCAGGAGGAUCACUUGAGCCUAGUGAGGUAUGAUCAUGCCACUGCACCCAGCUGGGGCAACAGAGUGAGACCUCAUCUAUAAAAAUAAUAAAAUAAAUCUUAAAUAAAUUUUAAUAAACAAAACAUGGCAUUAUAAUCUUAGGGGACCACCAUCGUACAUGCAGUCCAUCACUGAUUGAAACAUCAUGCAACAUAUAACCAUAUAUGUUAAUGGCUGUUCAAUUAAAACUUCAUAGUCCUAAUGUAAAUUUAAAAAGACAAAGAAGAAAAUUAAGCAACAGGCCCAGAUUCAACUUUUCUAUGAAAAAUAGAAACUGUCAUGUUGAGUCAUAAAAUAAAAAAACUAGCAAAUCCAGCUCUAUGCUCAGAGAAUUACCAGAAAAUAAAAUUACAUGAAGCUUGAAUAUAGGGAGAUGGAAAGAUAUUAGACAAAUAUUAAAGAAAAUCUGGGCCAGGUGUGGUGGCUCACACCUGCAAUCCCAGCACUUUGGGAGGCCCAAGGUGGGAAGAUUACUUGAGGCAAGGGGUUUGAGACCAGCCCGGGCAACAUAGUGAAACUCUGUCUCUUUAAAAAAGAAAGAAAAGAAAAGAAAGAAAGAAAAGAAAAUCUCAGUGAGUGAUGGUCAGAAUAGAAUUCAACAUAACAAGCUCAUUAUUAAAAUAUUUGAUCUCACUGUGUACAAUUCUGAAGACACUCAUUCAUGUACUUCAUUAAAUAUUUCUAGUUUGCUAAAAAUAGAAUUACCCUUCAACCCAGCAAUCCCAUUACUGGGUAUCUACCAAAAGGAAAAAAAAAAUCAUUCUAUGAAAAGAUGCCUGCACUUGUAUGUUCAUCACAGAACUAUUUACAGUAGCAAAGACAUGGAAUCAACCCAGGUGCCCAUCAACAGUGGACUGGAUAAAGAAAGUGUGGUAC
rnacentral:lncRNA from 1 species